rnacentral:rRNA from 1 species
CUAAAAUUAAUAAUUAAAAAAUUUAUCAAUUUGUUUUGUAUCUUAGUUUAUUGAGGAUAAGCUCAAUAAAAAUAAUAAAAUAGUAUAUAUACCUCAUUUAAUUAGCCACAUGGGCUUAAAAUUAGCCAUUGUGUUAAAGUUUGUUACAAAUUAGUUUUUAUAUGCGGAAAGAUUAAUAUACUUUUUUUAUAAGGGUAACACGAAAAACCAUAAUAUCUUGAUUCACUUAUGCUAGGAUGAGUAUUAAUGUAUAAGAUAUAUAAACAAAAACAGAAAGAUAUAUAAAAUAACUUUACUUAAAAUGAAAUAAGAAUAAGGAAUUCAGCAAACGCUUAGCUCCGCCUGUUUAUCAAAAACAUGGCUCUUUGUUAAUCAAAUAUAAAGAGUCGGACCUGCCCAGUGAAGUUUUAACGGCCGCGGUACUCUGACCGUGCAAAGGUAGCAUAAUCAUUUGCCUUAUAAUUGAAGGCUUGUAUGAAUGGUUUGACGGGAGCAUUACUGUCUUUUUCUUACUUUAUAGAACUUGACCUCUAGGUAAAGAGGCCUAGAUACAGUUGAAAGACAAAAAGACCCUGUCGAGCUUAAAAAGGAAUCAGAAUAAUUUUAUUAUCCAAGAUUAAUUACUGACUAAUUUUUUUGGUUGGGGCGACCAAGGAACAAAAAAGCUUCCUCUACUCUCUUAGCUAAUAAGCAUAGAUCCAGAAAAAGCUGAUUAAAAGAAAUAGUUACCGCAGGGAUAACAGCAUAAUCUCUCUUGAGAGACCUAAUCGAAAGAGGGGGUUGUGACCUCGAUGUUGGACUAGAAUAUCCUAAAGAUGCAGAAGUCU